UUGGUCAGGGUUAGAUAGUUCUGAUAGUGGUUUUAGAUGAGAUUUCACUUGAAAUUUGUGGACUCUUACUAACUCUUAUUUCCCCUCUGUGCCAGGUCUGGCAUGGCCACAGAAGGAAGGGAUGGUGUGAUACUGUUCCCAGUCCUGCAGCAGAGCCAGUAUGACAUGGGACUUCUUGAGUGCUGAAAGUUACUGUAGGCCUAAGGGGCUCCCAGCUAAGCAUUUGCAUCGAGUCUCAGAAAAGACCUUGGACUUGGACUUCUGAACAACAUUGAAACUGUCAAUAUUUGGAGGACUCUAGGAGACAGUCUAUGUACAGUUUGCACUGUGAGAUGGCCGUAAACUUUUCUGGGCUAAGAGUAGAAUGCUAUCAUUUGAAAAUGAAAAUGAAAUGUCCCUUCAAGCUCAGGUUUUAAACCAUUGGUACGCAGUUUAGGAGGUGCUAGAACUUAGCUAGAGAAUGUAGCUCACUGGAUAUGGACGUUUGACGACCAUAACCAGCAUGGGGUCUCUCCACCUACUGUUUGCCAUCCACCAUGAGGUAAGUAGUUUCUGUCACAUAUUCCUGCUGCAUGAUAUUUUGCUUCAUCCAGGUUUAUCUAGAACUAAUAAAGUCAGACCAUGCACACAGCCAAAAUAAAUAAUUCCUUCUGCUGA